UACGAAGGGGGCUAGCGUUGCUCGGAAUCACUGGGCGUAAAGGGUGCGUAGGCGGGUCUUUAAGUCAGGGGGGAAAUCCUGGAGCUCAACUCCAGAACUGCCUUUGAUACUGAAGAUCUUGAGUUCGGGAGAGGUGAGUGGAACUGCGAGUGUAGAGGUGAAAUUCGUAGAUAUUAGGAAGAACACCAGUGGCGAAGGCGGCUCACUGGCCCGGUACUGACGCUGAGGCGCGAAAGCGUGGGGAGUAAACAGG
rnacentral:rRNA from 1 species